rnacentral:rRNA from 1 species
AGAGAGAGACAUGCGCGCAUAUCAAUAAGCGGAGGAAAAGAAACUAACAAGGAUUCCCUUAGUAACGGCGAGUGAAGCGGGAAGAGCUCAAAUUUGAAAUCUUCAAGGUUUUACCUUGACGAAUUGUAGUUCAAAGAAGUGUUUUCUGCUGAAGUUUUGGUAAAAGUUCUUUGGAAUAGGACAUCAUAGAGGGUGAGAAUCCCGUAUUUGACCAUUAUUUUCAGCUUUGUGAUACACUUUCAAAGAGUCGGAUUGUUUGGGAAUGCAGUCCAAAAAUGGGUGGUAAAUUUCAUCUAAAGCUAAAUAUUGGCGAGAGACCGAUAGCGAACAAGUACCGUGAGGGAAAGAUGAAAAGAACUUUGAAAAGAGAGUUAAACAGUACGUGAAAUUGUCAAAAGGGAAGCGUUUGACACCAGUGUUGUUUCCUCGAAAAUCAAUUAGAAAGUGGCUCGAUUUUGUAUUGUUGAGACCUUAAAAGCUCACUGUACAUUUUUCGUGUCUUUUUUAAUGCACUUUUCGUUUAACAAGUCAACAUCAGUUUCUUUUGUUGUAAAAGGGUCAUUGGAAGGUGGCUUUCUUUUCGGAGAAAGUGUUUAUAGCCUUUGGCCUCUGCAAUCGAAGAGACUGAGGUCUGCAGCGUAGGACUCUUCGGGGUUAGAUACAUUUGUGCUGAGUUAUAGCUUUUUAUAGACAACUUGUUGACUAUAAUUAGUCUUGUAGGCUUACUCGCUUAUGCUAUUUUACCUACGCUUAGGAUGUUGAGUCGUAGAGCACGCAG